GUGAGCUCAUCUCCGACGGCUGCUGAUGCUCUUGUGACUGCACUUGGUCGUGAUUUUGCAGUUAAGGAUUUGGGACAACUUCAUUUCUUCCUGGGUAUUGAGGUCGCUCAUCAGUCUCGUGGCAGUUUGGCUCUCACCCAGAAGAAGUACUCUCUUGAUCUCUUGCGCCGUGCUGGUAUGCUCAAGUGCAAGCCAUCGCGUACGCCCAUGUCCUCCACUGACACCCUUUCUGCUGCUGAUGGUGCUCUUCUCUCUCCUGAGGAUGCUACUGAGUACAGGAGUAUUGUUGGUGGCCUGCAGUAUCUGACGAUCACG
rnacentral:rRNA from 1 species